CUGCAUAACUUAAGUGUUCUCUCAUUGAACUGGACAGACCUGAGAGACAUUUUCAGUACAGUGCUCACCGAAACAGAAGUUGAGGAGAGAAGAGGGAGGAUAAGAAAGAACUAUGGGAAGAGCAGAAGAAUCUAAUUCAGAUGAAAAACCACAGAGGGAAAAUUACAUCAUCUCAUCCCUGCAUUUUUCCCAAGGUCGCUGAGGUCCGUGUUUGUGCUUGAGAAAUGGAUUUCACUAUCAGUUGUGGCUGAAAACUUCCCAAAUUUGAUGGAAGACAUGCAUAUAAAUAUCCAAGAAGCUCAACAAACUCUAAGUGGACUGAAGGAGAGCCACACUAAGACACAUUAAAACCAAACUUUCUGAAACCGAAGACAAAGAGAAAAUCUUGACAGCGUCAAGAGAAGCAAAUCAUCACAUACAAAGGAUCCUCAAUUAGAUUACCAGCAUAUUCUCAUCAGAAACUUUGGAGACCAGAAGACAGAGGGCCAAUAUAUUCAAGGUGUUAAAAUAAAGAAACUGUCUACCAAGAAUCCUAUAUCCAGAAAAUCUAUUCUUCAGAAAUGAGGGAGAAAUUAAGACAUUCCCAGAUAAACAAAAGCUGAGGGGGUUUGUCACCACCAGACUUGCUAUACAAGAAAUGCUUGAGGGAGUUUUACAAGGUGAAAUGAAAGGAUGCUAGACAGUAACUCAAAAUCAUAUGAAGAAAUAAAGAUCUCAAUAAAGAUUGAAGGUUUGUGACAACCUUGCAUCAAGCAGGUUUAUCAGUGUCAUACUUCCAACAUUUGCUUACUUCCUGGCUCUGUGUCACAUUUUGCAGGCAGUUCUGGAAGAAACCAUAGCAUCAGUUUGCUGGCCACAUCUUAUGGGUACUGUUGUGAAGCUGUUGGAAACAAGGCCUGUG